rnacentral:rRNA from 1 species
CCCCCCGGCCCGGGAUAGCCCAGGGAAACCUGGAUUAAUACCGGAUGAGACGGGACCCGGCGAAGGCGGGACCCGGGAAAGGCGCUGGCGGCGCCGCCGGGGGAUGAGUCUGCGUCCCAGUUAGCUAGACGGCGGGGUAACGGCCCACCGUGGCGACGAUGGGUAGCCGGCCUGAGAGGGUGGACGGCCACAUUGGAACUGAGACCACGGUCCAGACGUCCUACGGGAGGCAGCAGCUAAGAAUCUUCCGCAAGUGGGCGAAAGCCUGACGGAGCGACGCCGCGUGAACGAAGAAGGCCGUGAGGUUAGUAAAGUUCUUUUCGGGAGGGGGAACAACCGUGGCAGGGGAAUGGCCGCGGGAUGACGUGAAUCCCGGAAUAAGCCCCGGCUAACUACGUGCCAGCAGCAGC